rnacentral:rRNA from 1 species
UGCGUAGGCGGUGCGGAAAGUCGGGUGUGAAAUCCCCCAGCUCAACUGGGGAAUUGCGCCUGAAACUACCGUGCUCGAGGAAGACAGAGGUACGCGGAACUUAGGGUGGAGCGGUGAAAUGCGUUGAUAUCCUAAAGAACACCGGUGGCGAAAGCGGCGUACUGGGUCUUAUCUGACGCUGAGGCACGAAAGCUAGGGUAGCGAACG